GUAGGUGGCAAGCGUUGUCCGGAAUUAUUGGGCGUAAAGCGCGCGCAGGCGGUUUUUAAGUCUGAUGCGAAAGCCCACGGCUCAACCGUGGAGGGUCAUUGGAAACUGGAGAACUUGAGUACAGAAGAGGGAAGCGGAAUUCCACGUGUAGCGGUGAAAUGCGUAGAGAUGUGGAGGAACGCCAGUGGCGAAGGCGGCUUUCUGGUCUGUAACUGACGCUGAGGCGCGAAAGCGUGGGGAGCAAACAGGGAUUAGAUACCCUGGUAGUCCACGCCGUAAACGAUGAGUGCUAAGUGUUAGGGGGUUUCCGCCCCCUUAGUGCUGCAGCUAACGCAUUAAGCACUCCGCCUGGGGAGUACGGCCGCAAGGCUG
rnacentral:rRNA from 1 species